rnacentral:rRNA from 1 species
GGGUUCGAUCAUGGCUCAGAUUGAACGCUGGCGGAUGUUUACACAUGCAAGUCGAACGGCAGCACGGACUUCGGUCUGGUGGCGAGUAAGAACGGGGUGAGUAAUGUAUCGGAACGUGCCUAGUGGGGAUAAUCGCCAGCGAAAGCGUAGCCAUUUGAAUGGCAUGGCCUUCGGGGGAAAGCGGGGGACCUUCGGGCCUCGCACUAUUAGAGCGCCGAUAUCGGAUUAGCUAGUUGGUGGGGUAACGGCUCACCAAGGGCGACGAUCCGUAGCUGGUUUGAGAGGACGACCAGCCACACUGGGACUGGAGACACGGCCCAGACUCCUACGGAGGCAGCAGUGGGGAACGGGAUUAAAUGGGGAAACCCCUGAUCCAGCCAUCCUGCAACAUGAAGGCCUUCAUUGUAAAGAACUCCCUUUUUGGCAGGAAAGGAAAACGGCACGGGAUAAUACCCCGUGCAACUGACGGUACCUGCAGAAUAAGCACUGGCUAACCACGUGCCAGCAGCCGCGGUAAUACGUAGGGUGCAAGCGUUAAUCGGAAUUACUGGCGUGAAGCGUGCGCAGGUAUGGUUCGGAAAGAAAGAUGUGAAAUCCCAGAGCUUAACUUUGGAACUGUAUUUAAACGCCGAGCUAGAGUGUGUCAGAGGGAGGUGGAAUUCCGCGUGUAGCAGUGAAAUGCGUAGAUAUGCGGAGGAACACCGAUGGCGAAGGCAGCCUCCUGAUAACACUGACGCUCAUGCACGAAAGCGUGGGGAGCAAACAGGAUUAGAUACCCUGGUAGUCCACGCCCUAAACGAUGUCAACUAGCCGUUGGGGCCUUCGGGCCUUGGCAGCGCAACUAACGCGGUUGACCGCCUGGGGAGUACGGUCGCAAGAUUAAACCCAAAGGAAUUGACGGGGACCCGCACAAGCGGUGGAUGAUGUGGAUUAAUUCGAUGCAACGCGAAAACCUUACCUACCCUUGACAUGUCUGGAAUCCCGAAGAGAUUUGGGAGUGCUCGCAAGAGAACCGGAACACAGGUGCUGCAUGGCUGUCGUCAGCUCGUGUCGUGAGAUGUUGGGUUAAGUCCCGCAACGAGCGCAACCCUUGUCAUUAGCACAUGAAAGCAAGCACUCUAAUGCAGACUGCCGGUGACAAACCGGAGGAAGCAGGUGGGGAUGACGUCAAGUCCAUGGCUCCCGCGGUAGGGCUUCACACGUCAUACAAUGGUCGGGACAGAGGUCGCCAACCCGCGAGGGGGAGCCAAUCCCAGAAACCCGAUCGUAGUCCGGAUCGCAGUCUGCAACCUCGACUGCGUGAAGUCGGAAUCGCUAGUAAUCGCGGAUCAGCAUGUCGCGGUGAAUACGUUCCCGGCCCUACACACCGCCCGUCACACCAUGGGAGGCCUACUGCAGAAGUAGUUAGCCCAACCGUAAGGAGGGCGAUUACCACGGUAGGAUUCAUGACUGGGGUGAAGUCGUACAAGGUAA